rfam:Papilio xuthus contig17560, whole genome shotgun sequence.
CAAACGGUUCCUUUUGGAACCAUCCGCAGAUGAGUGAGAGAUAAA